GAUGAACGCUGGCGGCGUGCCUAAUACAUGCAAGUCGAACGCUGGAAAUCUAGCUUGCUAGAUUGAAGGAGUGGCGAACGGGUGAGUAAUACAUAAGCAACCUACCCACGAAGACUGGGAUAAUCUCUGGAAACGGGGACUAAUACCGGAUAGGUAAUCGGAAGGCAUCUUCUGAUUAUUAAAGGUUAAAAACACUGGUGGAUGGGCUUAUGGCGCAUUAGUUAGUUGGUGAGGUAACGGCCCACCAAGACGAUGAUGCGUAGCCGGCCUGAGAGGGUGAACGGCCACAUUGGGACUGAGACACGGCCCAGACUCCUACGGGAGGCAGCAGUAGGGAAGUUUCGGCAAUGGGGGAAACCCUGACCGAGCAACGCCGCGUGAGUGAUGACGGCCUUCGGGUUGUAAAGCUCUGUUGUAAGGGAAGAACGGUAGAUAGAGAAUAUCUAAAUGACGGUACCUGACCAGAAAGCCACGGCUAACUACGUG
rnacentral:rRNA from 1 species